ensembl:lncRNA
UCACAGCUAAUGGAGGAUCUGCCUCAUUUUCUGAAAACAAAACAGAACAAAAAAAAACAAAGCCCUGAGCCGGACUUGCCUCCUGUGAAGACUGACGCUCAUCUGGGGCUUCAGGCACGGGCUCUUUGGAAUAAGCAGCAGUGCUGUCUUCAUAAUCUUCCCUCCAAAAGUCCUCUGUGUGAAGUGAAUCAUAAUUGGCUGUGGCCUCAGGGACUCCUUCCGCAGAGCCAAGGGUAUUUAAUCCCACCUCAGUGAUAAACCAGAGGGUGCCUGCUCUCUGUAUACCAGCCAGUGGUUGUUUCUGCAUCUUUAGUGAAGCCUUGGUCAGUGGUCAACCUGAUGAAUGAGACAGAACUGUCUUAAGAUAUACUCAGUGUGCUCAGGUUCAAGGACAAAACGUCUGUCCUUGCCUAGUAUCUCUUUAUUACCUCACUCUCAGUAGCAUGUGACACAGAGGGCCAGCCUUUGAGGGGCCUGUUGUAUAGAAAUCUUUUGGUAACGACUUGGCCCUUAAAGAUGGUGCUUCGAGCAAAUAUAUAAGCCAAAAUGAGGAACUUUUCCUGUAAUUGAGAGGGCCUGGAAGGAAGAAGUGAGUAUUGCUGUACAGAUGGUACAGAACCAGAAACUUUGGAAACGUGUGACGAUCCCUAGGACGAGGAAGACAAGUCCAGCCUGAGCCUGAAUUCUUCACUGACCUCCUCCGGUCAGGGGUUCCCGUCCGCUCUUCAGUGAGCAAGAGCUGGAGGCUCAGGUUAGUGCCACUGCCUCUUCUGCGUGGUGGUACAUACAGGUGUACGUAUGUGGUGAAGUCUUCAGUAUUCCAGAGGCUAGUGGCGGUUUCUCUAAACAAUCUUUUUGUCACCUUCAUAGGACACUGAGCGAAAGAAGCUCUCCAGUUAUAGAUGCAGAGAGGUGUCCACCAGGCUGGGUGCUGUAGCUAUUACGGACCAGCUUCUGAUACUCAGUGUGGGCGAAGGAGCCAAGCAGGCCUCCGCACUGCAUCUUCUCCCAGUGCGUGGCACACAGCAGCUGCUCAGUACACAUUGGCUGCGUGAAUGAAUUUAUAUGUAGGAGGUUCUCUGAAUGUGUUUCCAUUAGUGAUGCUGGUUAUGAAAAUCAAUAAAAUGGUGUGUAAUUGUGCACAUAAAACAGCUGCAGCCAGUCGAUCAGGUAGAACUUGGUUGUGAGGCAAACAACAGUUACCACCGUUUUUCUUCCUGGCAGAGAAAUGACAGGAAUGUCCUGUGGGAGGGCUUCUCUCAGCCUCUUCUCUUGCCCUUUAUCCGCCCGCUGUGCUCCCUCCCAGUCCUGUUUGGUCAUUAUGUUUGUGCUGUUGUUGAGAAGAGUAUUCAGAAGUAUCCCAAUUAAUGCGAACAUUUGGGCAGGGUAUUAGGUUCCUGUGUGCCGGGACCGAAGCAAUGGGGCAGCAACACUCUCCGUGCAUUUCACCCUGUGUGUGUGUGUGUGUGUGUGUGUGUGUGUGUGUGUGUGUGUGAGAUUAGAUUAGGAGGCUGGAGCUCUCAUGAAUGGGGUUGGUGUUUUAGGAAAGAGAUCCCCCGAAGUCCCGAAGUCCCUCCUGCCGUGUGAGGAAACCAGGAGAAGCCUGCAACCUGUGCUUUUACUUGACUGUGCCGCCACCCUGAUGGGACUUGCAGCCUCUGGAACCAUAAGCAAUAAUUUCCUGUUGCCUGUAAGCUUCCCAUCUGUGGUAUUUUGUUAUAGCAGCCUGUAUGGACCAAGACCAAGGGUCCUUAACUUGGGAGUCCUAACACACAUUGAAUGUGCACAUGAGUAUGUUUUUCUGGAGAGAGGUCCUGUAGCUUGUAUUGCCUGUUUAUUCAUUUAAUGAUAUUUGCUAUUUUACCUAUUAAGAGCCUGCUGUGUAACCUCAGGCUCCAGGUUAGAUGCUGGUAAUCGAAACCCCCUGUCGCUUAUAGGCCGAUGGUGGAGACUAACAUCAAUCCAAAAAAUCACACAAAUGACUGUACAAUUGCUGCAGCAAAAAGCGCUGUCAUGGCUCUACGAGAAGAUCCGGUGGGGAAAAUUAGCAGUUAAAGGGGCUUGAGAGGCUUCCUUGAGAAAGUGGGUCAUCCAUUCAGCAAGUAUCUCAUGCUAUGUGCCAGGCACUCUUCUUACCCCGGCGAUUCAGCAGUGAGGAGACAGAGCUUCUGCACUCAGAGCUCACGUUCUGAUGGGGAAGACAGGUGUGGGCAUCUACUGUGUGCGGAAGAAAGGUUGCUGCUUACCGAGAUGGGGAAGAUUGUGGGUGGAGCAUUUUGGGGGAGUUUUCUUUUGGACGAGGAGGUGUCAAGCCUGGGAUUCAGGGGAGAUGCUCAGGCUGGGACUGUAAAGUGGGGAGACAUCGGUUAAAGGGCGCAGGAGUCACUGAGAUCAUUCAGAGAGUGAAUAUAGAUAGAGAAGAGGUGGGGGGACCUAGCCCUGGGAGCUUUUAUAUUUAGUGGCACCAGAAAGAGGGCCGAGGGGUUGGUCAGGGAAGGAGGAGGAGAAGACAAGCUCAGAAAAAAAAGUGAAGAGGGAGAGACGGAUGCGACACGUCCGGUGUUGCCGAUCAGGUGAGUUAAGCUGGGGACUGAGAUGACCAUUCAUUGGCUUUGGCUAUGUCUUCAGAGCAGUUUCGAAGGAGUGACAGGGGUGAGAGCCUACUGGGAAUGGGUUCAGGAGAGAAAGGGAGGAGGGAGUUAGGGAAGCAGGGCAGCACUGGAGGGGAUGGGGGCUGGUGAAGGGAGACUGCUCUGAGCCUGGCCGUCAUCCAGUUCUUCCUUUAAGAAGAACAAGUUGGAGUUCCCGUCGUGGCGCAGUGGAAACAAAUCUGACUAGCAUCCAUGAGGACGCAGGUUCAAUCCCUGGUCUUGUUCAGUGGGUUAAGGAUCCGGCGUUGCUAUGAACUGUGGUGUAGGUCACAGAUGUGGCUGGGAUCUGGUGUUGCUGUGGCUGUGGCGUAGGCCGGAAGCUACAGCUCUGAUUAGACCCCUAGUCUGGGAACCCCCAUAUGCUGCAGGUACGGCCCUAAAAAGGACGAAAAG